UUACGGGAGGCAGCAGUAGGGAAUCUUCCACAAUGGGCGAAAGCCUGAUGGAGCAACGCCGCGUGAGCGAAGAAGGUCUUCGGAUCGUAAAGCUCUGUUGUAAGGGAAGAACAAGUGCAGUAGUAACUGGCUGCACCUUGACGGUACCUUACUAGAAAGCCACGGCUAACUACGUGCCAGCAGCCGCGGUAAUACGUAGGUGGCAAGCGUUGUCCGGAAUUAUUGGGCGUAAAGCGCGCGCAGGCGGUUUCUUAAGUCUGAUGUGAAAGCCCCCGGCUUAACCGGGGAGGGUCAUUGGAAACUGGGAGACUUGAGUGCAGGAGAGGGAAGCGGAAUUCCAUGUGUAGCGGUGAAAUGCGUAGAGAUAUGGAGGAACACCAGUGGCGAAGGCGGCUUCCUGGCCUGUAACUGACGCUGAGGCGCGAAAGCGUGGGGAGCAAACAGGAUUAGAUACCCUGGUAGA
rnacentral:rRNA from 1 species